CGUCCCCUGCGGUGCUCGUCAGCAGGUCGGGUAUUUUCUUGAGCCUAAUUCAUACCCUGGGGGUAUAAAGCCGGUGCCGGUGUGCAUGUCCGCCUUCGAGCGGAAAGCCUGAAGGCACCCCUGUUAUCCCCACUUGAACCUGCCGGUUCAAGAACGAUGACCAGCGACGGCACAGGCGGAGGACGC
rnacentral:other from 1 species